rnacentral:rRNA from 1 species
GCGUGGUUGGGAUCGAGGGCUAGGUGUCGGUGUGUGAGGAGGGAGGAGGGAGAGUGUCGGCGGUGUGGGGUAAGGAGAGAAGGAGGAGGGAGGAGGAAGGGUCUAGGGAUGGUGGCGGUGUGGGUGAGCAGAGGAGGAGAGAGAAAAUCGAUUGAGGAAGGACUAGAGACGCAGCCGGCGUCACGCUCUCCUCGUCACCGCCGUCUCUACGAGGCUACCGCCGCAGCUCAACGCUUCGCCGCCUGCGAGCCCGCGCUCUGCUAUCUUCGCCUUCGCCGAUGAGGCCCGGGGCUAGACCCCCCAAGCCAAGGUCCCGCGGCUGCCGAAGAAACAGAUACUGCGCCCCCGCUCGACCCCAAGCAGUAGUGGUGCCGGCUGGUGGAGGGCAGCGAUCGGCUCGGGCCACCACUCCACUUCCUCGUCCCACCCGCCGGGCAGCGCUACCCUACCCCGAUCCCUUCUCCCUCCUCCGGCUUCCCACUUCCUCGUCCGGCCGGGAGUGCCAGUGUCUCCGUGGCGGCGACCACUCCACUUCCUCGUCCCACCCGCCGGGCAGCGCUACCCUACCUCGAUCCCUUCUCCCUCCUCCGGCUUCCCACUUCCUCGUCCGGCCGGGAGUGCCAGUGUCUCCGCGGCGGCGACAGGUCCCAGUAAGCGGCAGUGGCCGGAGUGAGCGGAGCAGAGGAUAGAGAAGUAGUGACGUAGGUACACUUAAAAACCUCUUACCACGAGGCUAAACCAGGGGUACGAUGUCCGGACGUUGUAAAUAUCUGCUCCUAACGUCCACAGCUAUGUUACCUCGUUAAAGACCGAAACAUCAACCUCGUAUCGGAGCUAAUACGUACUAAAACCCCAAAACGAGAGAGGGACACACGAUGUGUAAAGACGAGAGGGGUCAUCGUUAACCUACAAUUAGACGAAACCCGUCGCCGCCACGUAGUUCCACGUUCCGUCGUCGCUGUACAAGUAUCAUGCGAUUUCCUACUUGACGAUGAAAAGGACUACGAUCGAGGAACGACGUCUAUAUGGUCGGACGAAUGUCGAGGGUUCUAUAGGAGAACCAGUUCCGUUAACGUGUACUACUUCGGUGAGUAAAAUCACCAUAUGGUGUGAGACUCGUUAUCCUGGUUUUUGUCCUUCUAUUUUAAAGUGUUAAGCUAUGAAGUAUAAAAGGUCUUCAUGCCGGUGGAAGACGUGUCACGGGAACGUAACCCCAAGAAUAGUUUAUUCAAAGAAAGGCAUCUUAAACAAGUCCUAUACGUAACACGAAUUUGUACUCACGAGCGAGCGGCUUGCAACCGGGAGCCUACUUAAGCUGCGAACUUAGCUCGACUGCUCGGGGUACCCCCACUCCGCCUAUUGUUAUGCUCUUCCUCGUACGGUAGCUCCUCACGUUCGUCGCCGUGAGGAGGUGUUACCCCAUACCGACGUCCCCUCCCCUGCGCCGGUUGCUGUACUUCUUCCUCGUCCAGCAGCUCCUGAUGUUCGUCGUCCAAAGGAAACUGACCUCCAGACUUUGACUUCUAUCCCGUAUAACAAAACCAAGACUCACCGGCCUCUAUAACACCGAACUACAGGGAUCUCGUCAGCCUGGGAAGGUUCUAUCUUCUAGAAACCCUAACUGCAAGACUACUCUUUCAUCGUAUGCCUACCUACCUGUACUUGAUAAGUCACCAGCUUGACGCGAUAUAAAGAAAGUAACUCCGCUCCCACUAAGGUCAUCCACUCCACGUAAAAUCUGUAGGCCUACAGAACGAUACAAGUCCACCAUGGUACAGAUUUAAUUCUAAAGGGAACCGCAUGAGCGGAAAAAAUAACUUCAACCCACAGGCAGAAGAGACGCCGUUCCACUCGAAUAGGGUAAAUGAAACAAGUUAGGUCUCAGUUCUAAGUAUAGGGGAAGUGACAGUAAAGUAAACACUCUUAAAUAAGGUAACUAGGUACAACAGCCGUAGGACUGUUAAAUAGAAAAAGACGGCUAGUGUUAACGAAGACUUGUGUGGCCGGGUAGAGUAACUCCUUUAGGGGGACGAGACGAAUUAAUUUUAAUUACACUUUAUACAAAGAUGGUUUUGAUUAAUGUUAAAUAAGAAAAAUCAAAGAUGACUAAAAGUGAUACUUUAUAACCCCGGGCUCAUCAAGUCAAGUUAAGGGCCACCUAUACCGUGUGUGUACAUAGUAGCGACAAUAGCAUUAACUAUGGUUGUGGAACUGACUUAGCGUAUCUCAUCUGACGGGACUAUUAAGAACGUGUUGGUUCGAUAGACAUUGUAUCUUAUCUGACACUCGUACGGGACCCCUGUACAGAUUUAUUAAGGACAUGUGUACCUGUGACCCAUACAAACAUUAGCGGGUUCUUUAAUCGUCGACCUCUAAUAAACAACUUUUUAGAUUGCCACAAAGGAAUGGUAGUCGACGAUAAAGUCAUCAAGAUUUUACAAGACGUUCUAUUACAUAUUACUUAUACAUCGAUACAAGUACAUACAUAUCGAAACGUAUUAUUACAAAACAUACCGUUUCCAAGUAUACCGACCUUCCCUUUAAUCAUCGACGUGGAACCAUGGACGUUUAUUAAACAAAAUGUCACAGGGAACUACCAAGAGGUGAAGUCUGUGAUUUCUAUGGCUACCUCGAAACAAAUCCUAGACCCCUCAGUCUAACACCUAAUGUACAUCACCCCUUCAUCUCUCCCCCUGCUCCUUCUCCUGUGGCAGCCACCGCACGAUAUAGAGUGAUCCGCUGUUACAGCUCUCCCACGGACCGUAGUUCUUGGGCUGUACGAAAAGGUUCACAAGCAACUCCUAUAAGACACGCGGUUGGGGAUGUCUUAUUACGGGUCAGAUUAAAGUCGUCACCCGUACUGUCGGAGUUUGAAGAGAGAAGUUAUAACUUCUUCGCCGAAUGAGUCUAGUUACCCGUACGUGAAUCUUUUUAUCGAUUUCUCAUGCUCUAUAAGGAUCUCAUUUAUUUCCCGUACGACACGAGUAUUCAAUCUGUCUUCGUUUUACAAUAAAUAAUACGAGGACAACAUAGGAGCCUGUAAAAGAAGGUGGAUGGUUAUGGGGUCAUAACUUAUAGAUGAAAGGGUGGCAGCAUGUCUUUGACUACAAUCAUAAACACGUAUGAGAAACAGAAUUCACCCGAGAGAAAAUUUUUUCGUACGGAAAUAUAAUGGGUUUAUCGUAUUGUUUAAUACGUAGGAGUUCAUAUAUAAAAUUCUCUACUCAGAAUUAAAAAGUA